GUAUUCUAAGGCGCUUGAGAGAACUCAGGAGAAGGAACUCGGCAAAUUGACACCGUAACUUCGGAAGAAGGUGUGCCUUUAGUAGGUGAAGUCCCUCGCGGAUGGAGCCCAAUGAGGUUGCAAAGAAUCGGUGGCUGCGACUGUUUAUUAAAAACACAGCACUCUGCAAACACGAAAGUGGACGUAUAGGGUGUGACGCCUGCCCGGUGCUGGAAGAUUAAAUGAUGGGGUGCAAGCUCUUGAUUGAAGUCCCAGUAAACGGCGGCCGUAACAAUAACGGUCCUAAGGUAGCGAAAUUCCUUGUCGGGUAAGUUCCGACCUGCACGAAUGGCGUAACGAUGGCCACACUGUCUCCUCCUGAGACUCAGCGAAGUUGAAAUGUUUGUGAUGAUGCAAUCUCCCCGCGGAAAGACGGAAAGACCCCAUGAACCUUUACUGUAGCUUUGUAUUGGACUUUGAACAGAUCUGUGUAGGAUAGGUGGGAGGCUUUGAAGCAGGGUCGCUAGAUCUUGUGGAGCCAACGUUGAAAUACCACCCUGGUGUGUUUGAGGUUCUAACCUAGGCCCGUAAUCCGGGUUGGGGACAGUGCAUGGUAGGCAGUUUGACUGGGGCGGUCUCCUCCCAAAGUGUAACGGAGGAGUUCGAAGGUACGCUAGUUACGGUCGGACAUCGUGACGAUAGUGCAAUGGCAUAAGCGUGCUUAACUGCGAGACUGACAAGUCGAGCAGAUGCGAAAGCAGGACAUAGUGAUCCGGUGGUUCUGUAUGGAAGGGCCAUCGCUCAACGGAUAAAAGGUACUCUGGGGAUAACAGGCUGAUACCGCCCAAGAGUUCAUAUCGACGGCGGUGUUUGGCACCUCGAUGUCGGCUCAUCUCAUCCUGGGGCUGUAGCCGGUCCCAAGGGUAUGGCUGUUCGCCAUUUAAAGAGGUACGUGAGCUGGGUUUAAAACGUCGUGAGACAGUUUGGUCCCUAUCUUCCGUGGGCGCUGCAGAUUUGAGGAAGCCUGCUCCUAGUACGAGAGGACCGGAGUGGACGCACCUCUGGUGUAUCGGUUGUCACGCCAGUGGCAUUGCCGAGUAGCUAUGUGCGGAAGAGAUAACCGCUGAAAGCAUCUAAGCGGGAAACUCGUUUCAAGAUGAGAUCUGCCGGGGCCUUGAGCCCCCUGAAGAGUCGUUCAAGACCAGGACGUUGAUAGGUCGGGUGUGGAAGCGCAGUAAUGCGUUAAGCUAACCGAUACUAAUUGCUCGUGCGGCUUGACCCU
rnacentral:rRNA from 1 species